UAAGGUGGUUAUUGCAAUGGGGCUCACCUCUUUCCAUCCCGAACAGAGAAGUUAAGCCCAUUAGCG
rnacentral:rRNA from 1 species